GAUGAACGCUGGCGGCGUGCCUAAUACAUGCAAGUAGAACGCUGAAGGAGGAGCUUGCUCUUCUGGAUGAGUUGCGAACGGGUGAGUAACGCGUAGGUAACCUGCCUGGUAGCGGGGGAUAACUAUUGGAAACGAUAGCUAAUACCGCAUGACAACAGUUAUUGCAUGAUAACUGUUUAAAAGGGGCAACUGCUCCACUACCAGAUGGACCUGCGUUGUAUUAGCUAGUUGGUGAGGUAACGGCUCACCAAGGCGACGAUACAUAGCCGACCUGAGAGGGUGAUCGGCCACACUGGGACUGAGACACGGCCCAGACUCCUACGGGAGGCAGCAGUAGGGAAUCUUCGGCAAUGGACGGAAGUCUGACCGAGCAACGCCGCGUGAGUGAAGAAGGUUGUCGGAUCGUAAAGCUCGGUUGUAAGAGAAGAACGAGUGUGAGGGUGGAAAGUUCACACUGUGACGGUAUCUUACCAGAAAGGGACGGCUAACUACGUG
rnacentral:rRNA from 1 species